rnacentral:rRNA from 1 species
UACAGAAGCCUCGAGCGUUACCCGGAUUUACUGGGCGUAAAGGGUGUGUAGGUGGUGUAAUUAGUCUUGCGUUAAAUCCAGGGGCUUAACCUCUGGCUCGCGUGAGAAACGGUUAUACUAGAGGAAAUGAGAGGUGUGUGGAACUCAUGGUGUAGGGGUGAAAUCCGUUGAUAUCAUGGGGAACACCAAAAGCGAAGGCAACACACUGGCAUUUUCCUGACACUGAAACACGAAAGCGUGGGUAGCGAAUCGG